rnacentral:rRNA from 1 species
ACAAACUGGCGGGGCCUAAUACAUGCAAGUCGAACGGGAACCUCUUAAAAGGAGGUUUUUAGUGGCGAACGGGUGAGUAACACGUAAGUAACCUGCCUUUAAGACGAGGAUAACAACCGGAAGGUUACUAAGACUGGAUAGGAAACAAAAAGGCAUCUUUUUGUUUUUAAAAGACCUUCUUACGAAGGUAUGCUUAAAGAGGGGCUUGCGCCACAUUAGUUAGUUGGUAGAGUAAAAGCUACCAAGACGAUGAUGUGUAGCUGGACUGAGAGGUUGAACAGCCACAUUGGGACUGAGACACGGCCCAAACUCCUACGGGAGGCAGCAGUAGGGAAUUUUCGGCAAUGGAGGAAACUCUGACCGAGCAACGCCGCGUGAACGAUGAAGUAUUUCGGUAUGUAAAGUUCUUUUAUUGAAGAAGAAAAAGUAGUGGAAAAACUAUAUUGACGUUAUUCAAUGAAUAAGCCCCGGCUAACUAUGUGCCAGCAGCCGCGGUAAGACAUAGGGGGCGAGCGUUAUCCGGAAUUAUUGGGCGUAAAGGGUGCGUAGGCUGUUAGAUAAGUCUAUAAUUUAAUUUCAGUGCUUAACGCUGUCUUGUUAUAGAAACUGUCUUGACUAGAGUGAGAUAGAGGCAAGCGGAAUUCCAUGUGUAGCGGUAAAAUGUGUAAAUAUAUGGAGGAACACCAGAAGCGUAGGCGGCUUGCUGGGUCUUUACUGACGCUGAGGCACGAAAGCGUGGGUAGCAAACAGGAUUAGAUACCCUGGUAGUCCACGCCGUAAACGAUGAGUACUAAGUGUCGGGGUAAAACUCGGUACUGAAGUUAACACAUUAAGUACUCCGCCUGAGUAGUACGUACGCAAGUAUGAAACUUAAAGGAAUUGACGGGACUCCGCACAAGCGGUGGAUCAUGUUGUUUAAUUCGAAGAUACACGAAAAAUCUUACCAGGUCUUGACAUACUCUGCAAAGCUAUAGAAAUAUAGUGGAGGUUAUCAGGGAUACAGGUGGUGCAUGGUUGUCGUCAGUUCGUGUCGUGAGAUGUUAGGUUAAGUCCUAAAACGAACGCAACCCUUGUCGUUAAUUGCCAGCACAUAAUGGGUGGGGACUUUAACGAGACUGCCAAUUAAACUUUGGAGGAAGGUGAGGAUUACGUCAAAUCAUCAUGCCCCUUAUGAUCUGGGCUACAAACGUGAAACAAUGGCUGGGAAAAAAAGAAACUUAAAACGCAAUUUUUACCCAUUUCCAAAAAACAGUCCCAGUUCGAAUUAAACCCNAACCCCCCNUCNGAGAGUGGGAAACCCCUUUAUUCCCAAAAACACUNNCCCGGGAA